rnacentral:rRNA from 1 species
GACGAACGCUGGCGGCGUGCUUAACACAUGCAAGUCGAACGGUGAUGCUCCAGCUUGCUGGAGUGGAUCAGUGGCGAACGGGUGAGUAACACGUGAGCAACCUGCCCCAGACUCUGGAAUAAGCGCUGGAAACGGCGUCUAAUACUGGAUACGAAACUGGCCCGCAUGGGCAUGGUUUGGAAAGUUUUUCGGUUUGGGAUGGGCUCGCGGCCUAUCAGCUUGUUGGUGAGGUAAUGGCUCACCAAGGCGACGACGGGUAGCCGGCCUGAGAGGGCGACCGGCCACGCUGGGACUGAGACACGGCCCAGACUCCUACGGGAGGCAGCAGUGGGGAAUAGUGAACGAUGGGCGAAAGCCUGAUGCAGCGACGCCGCGUGAGGGAUGACGGCCUUCGGGUUGUAAGCCUCUUUCAGCAGGGAAGAAGCGAAAGUGACGGUACCUGCAGAAGAAGCACCGGCUAACUACGUG